rnacentral:rRNA from 1 species
UACAGAGGGGGCAAGCGUUGUCCGGACUUACUGGGUGUAAAGCGCAUGCAGGUGGCUGUGCAAGUAUGCUGUGAAAGCCCCGUGCUUAACACGGGGAGGCCAGUAUAGACUGCACGGCUCGAGGACUGCAGAGGGUAGGGGAAUUGCUGGUGUAGUGGUGAAAUGCGUAGAGAUCAGCAGGAACACCAAGGACGAAGGUACCUACCUGGGCAGUAACUGACACUCAAGUGCGAAAGCGUGGGGAGCGAACCGGG